GGAGUAAUUAUCCACACCCUUUUUCCAGCCCCCUCAGCUGUCUACCCAAUAUAAACUGCUCCGCCACACAUCCACCAGACAUCCACCAGCCAUCCAUCAGACAUUAUACGCUUCUUUCACCACUACAUUUGUGCUGUUUAAUCACUGAUUGAAUCUUUACCCACCAUUCUGAUAAAGUGGCAACAUGUGCAAACUCCCUCUAACGGCAGGUCUCUGUUUGAUCAUCGCCUGCUUGGGAUAUCCUGGCCUCACGGAUACAGCUAGAGUGCCACCAAACUUCUGUAAUGGAAAGUGCAAUGGGCAAUACACCAACCCUGCUGACCGAAAUUCUUUUUACAAUUGUUGGGAAGGAAGAACCUACAUCCAA